rnacentral:misc_RNA from 1 species
GAAAAAAAAAGCAAAUUAAUCAAAUGAAACAUUAGUUGAUUCGAGGCUCAAUCUUUGCAAAGAGUUUGUAUUUGGAAGAAUCAUGGGUCGAUUUGGCAGCUCAAGACAUGUAAGAGUUGAAGCUGAGCCUAGGGGAUUAGAUGACCUCCAGGGAAUCAAUGGUGUGGAAAUGACAAAGCUUAGGCACAGAUUUAAUGUGUCUCAAGUACCUGAUCUGAGGUCCAGGAAGGAUAUUACAGAUAAGGCAGAGAAAACUUCAAAAGUAUUGCACAGAGUGUUUUCUGAGGAUUAUGAGAAGGAAAAGAACAAGAUAUUGGAUCCUAGAGGGAAAAUUUUACAUAUGUGGAACAAGAUUUUCUUAGGGGCAUGCUUGCUUUCUAUCUUUGUCGAUCCUUUAUUCUUUUACUUGCCAAUAAUCAGAAAAGAACUCUGCAUAGAAAUUGC